rnacentral:pre_miRNA from 9 species
GUGAGCAAGAUGGAGAAGCAGGGCACGUGCAUUACUAACUCAUGCAUAAUUGAACAUACAUACAUACGCAUUUUUCUUGCUGGAGGUUAGUUCUUCAUGUGCCCGUCUUCCCCAUCAUGACCAC